CUACGGGGGGCUCCAGUGAGGAAUAUUGCACAAUGGAGGAAACUCUGAUGCAGCAACGCCGCGUGGAGGAUGACGCAUUUCGGUGUGUAAACUCCUUUUAUAUGUCAAGAAAAUGACGGUAGCAUAUGAAUAAGCACCGGCUAACUCCGUGCCAGCAGCCGCGGUAAUACGGAGGGUGCAAGCGUUACUCGGAAUCACUGGGCGUAAAGGACGCGUAGGCGGGUUGGAAAGUCAGGUGUGAAAUCCUACAGCUUAACUGUAGAACUGCACUUGAAACUUCUAAUCUAGAGUAUGGGAGGGGGAGAUGGAAUUAGUGGUGUAGGGGUAAAAUCCGUAGAUAUCACUAGGAAUACCUAAAGCGAAGGCGAUCUCCUGGAACAUUACUGACGCUAAGGCGUGAAAGCGUGGGGAGCAAACAGGAUUAGAUACCCGAGUAGUC
rnacentral:rRNA from 1 species